UUUCGGCUAAAUUUUACUUAAUUUCUGUCAUAACAGCAAACAACUUCUGCAACUUCACAAUGAUUGUCUGCGUGUGUGCAAAAGAAAGCAUGUUCACUGUGUAAAACCCCGCGCAGGGCAUUUUCAAAUUAACGGUCAGGGCAGUCUGAGCUUAUCGUGUUGUGUUGACAGAGACUUUGCUGAGUGUAUGUAAAUCUGGGCUACAGUCCACGACAAAUUUUCUACGGUAGUUUUACGCCUGCAUGCUCGUCCUCUCGUCUAUCGCGGGGAGAUCAUCACUACAGCGGGAAUCGCAUUGAAGAGAUCCUGUGCUUGUUGCGUGGCGGUGUGUUUGUGUGCUCACUUGGAUUGAGACCAGCAGUGCUUUUUUAAACAGUGGGACCUGAUAUGGAUUAAUCCAAUGAUCAACGUUUUCCUUUGUAUCCCUGUUUUGUAUAUGCUGCCAUUACAUGAUGGUCAUAUGUCCCGGAUGAUCGGGAGAAGUCACGUGGUUCAAUUAUUAUUUUUUUUACGUGGUUCAAUUAUCUGUUAAUAAAUUUUUUUACCAUGCAUUUAGCAUCAGGCAAAGCCUGCAAUCAAUCUAUUAAGACAGAAACAAUAUCUUACUUAUUAUUAUGUUGUUAUUAUGACAAUAUCAUGUGAUCAUCUGAGUUAGAACAAAAUCUAUUCAUUUUCAGGUAUUACUGUGCAAGUGCCCUGAAUCAUUCUGUUGAAAUGUUAUGUGUUUAAGAUUCUUUAUGACAUCAAGAUGUGGUUUGGGAAGGACCUUCAUCUAAAUCUGAAGACAGGACAUACUGGCUUAAAAAGGUGUUUCUGAUAUGGAGAAAAACCCUGCACUGCUCAUUUUAUUUCUUCAUCUUGAGAAUACAGCAAGUUUACCUUUUGUCUGGAAAAUGAUUCAGCAAAGCUAACACCAACAACAAUUUUUCAUGGCACUUUAAACCACCUUGAUGUGAGGAGCCAGCAUCAGAAUGGAUGGUGUCAAUAUCCUGAAUGAAGAAGUGGAGGUAACAGAGGUGGAUCUCAAGACUUGGCCAUGUUCUAGAUUAUAACUGGAUUAUCACAAGUGCUGUCGCCCCUGCUGUAUAUGACGCCCCCACCACCUACACCAGGUGUAGGAAAUGUCGGUCCUGGAGUGACGUUGUCCUGCAGAGUUUUGCUCCAGCUCUAAACAAACACACCUGAACAACUAGAUCUGAAGAGUCACCAGUAAACUACAGGUAGGCGAGGUUUUAUCAGGGUUGGAAAUAAAAUCUGCAGGAUUUCGGCACUCCAGGACCGACGUUGCCUACUCCUGACCUACACCUUCAUCCUGCCACCACCACCCAUACUACCUACAAAAAACUGUAUUGUAAUAAUGCUUUUCACUGUAUUGUAUGAUGUGGUUUCUCAUUUAGGGUAA